CAGAUUUUUUGUUUUUUUUU
rnacentral:miRNA from 1 species